rnacentral:rRNA from 1 species
CCUACGGGAGGCAGCAGUGGGGAAUAUUGGACAAUGGGCGCAAGCCUGAUCCAGCAAUGCCGCGUGAGUGAUGAAGGCCUUAGGGUCGUAAAGCUCUUUUACCAGGGAUGAUAAUGACAGUACCUGGAGAAUAAGCUCCGGCUAACUCCGUGCCAGCAGCCGCGGUAAUACGGAGGGAGCUAGCGUUGUUCGGAAUUACUGGGCGUAAAGCGUACGUAGGCGGUUAUUCAAGUCAGAGGUGAAAGCCCGGGGCUCAACCCCGGAACGGCCUUUGAAACUAGGUAGCUAGAAUCUUGGAGAGGUCAGUGGAAUUCCGAGUGUAGAGGUGAAAUUCGUAGAUAUUCGGAAGAACACCAGUGGCGAAGGCGACUGACUGGACAAGUAUUGACGCUGAGGUACGAAAGCGUGGGGAGCAAACAGGAUUAGAUACCCUGGUAGUCCACGCCGUAAACGAUGAUAACUAGCUGUUCGGGCACUUGGUGCUUGAGUGGCGCAGCUAACGCAUUAAGUUAUCCGCCUGGGGAGUACGGUCGCAAGAUUAAAACUUAAAUGAAUUGAACGG